GACAGUGUGUCCGAGUGGUUAAGGAGGUUGACUUGAAAUCUACUAGACUAAGCCUGCGCAGGUUCGGAUCUUGCCGCUGUCG
rnacentral:tRNA from 1 species